UGAGGAAUAUUGCACAAUGGGCGCAAGCCUGAUGCAGCAACGCCGCGUGGAUGAUGAAGGCCUUCGGGUUGUAAAAUCCUUUUCUGGGGAAAGAUAAUGACGGUACCCCAGGAAUAAGUUCCGGCUAACUACGUGCCAGCAGCCGCGGUAAAACGUAGGGGACGAGCGUUAUCCGGAUUUACUGGGCGUAAAGCGCAUGUAGGUGGCUUGAAAAGUUGGACGUGAAAGCUCCUGGCUUAACUGGGAGAGGUCGUACAAAACUAGCAAGCUUGAGGUUGGAAGAGGAGAGCAGAAUUCCCGGUGUAGUGGUGGAAUGCGUAGAUAUCGGGAGGAAUACCAGUGGCGAAGGCGGCCACCUGGUUGGAUACUGACGCUGAGACGCGAAAGCGUGGGGAGCAAACAGGAUUAGAUACCCAGGUAGUCCCUGAGCGGGC
rnacentral:rRNA from 1 species